rnacentral:rRNA from 1 species
GACGAACGCUGGCGGCGUGCCUAACACAUGCAAGUCGAACGGAAAGGCCUGCUUUCCCUUGUGGUUUGCGGGCACUCGAGUGGCGAAUGGGUGAGUAACACGUGAGUGAUCUGCCCUCAACUUGGGUAUAAGCCUGUGAAACUGGGUCUAAUUUCCGAUAGGACUGGAGGGUGGUGCCUGCGGUGGAAUAUGAUUUUCUAGUGGUUGGGGAUGAGUUCGCGGCCUAUGAGCUUGCUGGCGGGGUAAUGGUCUACGAAGGCAGUGACGGGUAGCUAGCCGGAGAUGAUGGACAGCGGCAUUGAGACUGGGUUACGACCCAGACUCGUGCGGGAAGCAGCGGUGAGUGGUAAUGGACAGUGAGCGUGAGCCUGAUGCAGCGACGCUGCGUAGAAGAUGACGGCCUUCGGGAUGUAAACUCCUUUCGACCGCGGGGAAGCCGCCUAGAUGUAGGGGUGGUGACGGUAGUGGUAGAAGAAGCACCGGCUAACUACGUG